AGAGAAAGAGGGGCCAGGGGGACAAGAGAGAGGGCAGUGGAAUGAGAGAGCAGAGAAAAAUUUGCUAUAAAAUCUUAUCUAUAGCUAUAAAUUAUAAUUAUUUUACAUUAUCAUGAUCUAUCAUAUAUACAUAUAUCACGUUCGUAAUUCUCCUUUUAAAAAAUGACUACAAGUUAAAACUAAAAACUUUGAAGUUCUCUCUCUAUAUGGAUGCUGCGUAGAUUCAGUAUAACACACCAAAAAAAAAGAAGAAGAAGAAAUUCAUCCUAUAAUGUCCAAAACAGGGGAGGACAUUUUCAGUAUAACACUCCAAUUUUACUUGAACAUUUUCCUUGUAAUCACUUUCAAGUAUUUAUUUUCAUUAAGUAAAAAGUUACCACUUCCUCCAGCUCCAUUCUCAUGGCCAUUAAUUGGAAACAUUUUCCAAGUCGACCGAAGACGUCCUCAUGCCUCUUUUAGCAAAGCUAGCUCAAGUUCAUGCCCCUGAUUUAAUGUCCAUAAGGUUCAGUACACGUUUCGUGGUCAUGGCUUCAUCCCCUGUUGUUGCUGCUGAGGUUCUCAAAACCAACUAUCGUAUGCUCUCAGGACGAUACCUUUCUCCUUCAUACUGAGUCCAGGGAUGGAGACUUCACAAUUUUUCACCCGAGUAAUGUGAUGAUUAUUGAAAAAGUAUUUAGGGCAGAGCUUGAGAAAUGUGAUGAUUAUUGGAAAAGUAUUUAGGGCAGAGCUUUUCAAUUCAAAAGCUAAGGUAAGUAUGAGGUAGAAGAAAAUUGCAGAAAUGAUGCAACAUUUGGUUGUUAAACAAGGUCAAGUGGUUAAGAUAAGGGGGCGUGGUGUCUGUGACAACUUUCAGUGCAAUUGGUUUAAUUUGAUUCUUUCAAAAGAUUUAAUGGAUUAUGAAGGAAAUGGUGUAGGCAAAAGAAUGAGAGGGUACAAGCAUGGUUAGGUAUACAAAGACGUUUGUUACUCCGCAGUUAGCAGAUUAUUUGUAUCCGCAUUUUUAGUCGGGAUUCCCUAAUAAUUAAGAAACUUAUGGUUUUGUUUGAUAACAUUUGUAAUUUUUUACAUGACAGAAGAAGUGGAGUUAGUAUACUGCCUUCUUCGGGAGACAUUUGGAGUUGGUACAGAGUCUACGACUGCUACAAGUGAAUGGAUGCUUGUCCUGUCCAACUUGUAAGAAUUGCCUCAAAAAAACACUCCGCAAUGAAAUAAUGUUGUAAACUAAUAUGACUUACCAAACUUGGAAGGAGACAGUAAGGUUGCACCGUACAGAAUUCCGAAAGACACACAUAUGCGAGGGAUCCUAAGAAUUGGGAUGAUUCAAACUCGAAAUAUUUAUCAAUUCAAAAAGGGAGAUAUUUUAAGUCUAUUCCGUGUGGUUCAGGAAGGAGAGUGUGUGUUGGCUUCCAGGUUUGUGCCCUUAGUUGUUGCUUCUUUGAUCCAUGGGUUUGAUUGGAUUUUUCCAAAUGACAUGGAUCCAGCUCAUAUUCACAGGAAUGAGAUUUUGGUAAUCACAAUGUUUAAGAAUGGUCCACUUGAUCUUGUCAUUCCUAAAUUGAGGAAAAAAGUGAGGGAAUUUUUUAUUUUUUUUGGAUAAUGUAAAACUCACUAUCACUACAUAUGCUAUGUGAUUUGUUUCUUCUUUUUCCGCCCUGA